GACGAACGCUGGCGGCGUGCUUAACACAUGCAAGUCGAACGGAAAGGCCCUGCUUUUGUGGGGUGCUCGAGUGGCGAACGGGUGAGUAACACGUGAGUAACCUGCCCUUGACUUUGGGAUAACUUCAGGAAACUGGGGCUAAUACCGGAUAGGAGCUCCUGCUGCAUGGUGGGGGUUGGAAAGUUUCGGCGGUUGGGGAUGGACUCGCGGCUUAUCGGCUUGUUGGUGGGGUAGUGGCUUACCAAGGCUUUGACGGGUAGCCGGCCUGAGAGGGUGACCGGCCACAUUGGGACUGAGAGACGGCCCAGAAUGCUACGGGAGGCAGCAGGGGGGAAUAUGGCACAAUGGGCGGAAGCCUGACGCAGCAACGCCGCGUGCGGGAUGACGGCCUUCGGGUUGUAAACCGCUUUCGCCUGUGACGAAGCGUGAGUGACGGUAAUGGGUAAAGAAGCACCGGCUAACUACGUG
rnacentral:rRNA from 1 species